ACCGCUGCAAUCACGUUUCUUAUCUCAUAAACCUAAAUUUUUGUUCUCUUUAGAACAACCUCUAGCCGCCAUUCUUCAAGUUUUUGAGAUCAAAUCAUAAUCAUUCAUCAACUCUUGCUUUCAUUAGCUUCAUUAUAAUUCGAUUGUUCUUCGUCGAUCCACACCAACUCAGCGAGCUCUAUCAUCGCGACGUUUCGAAAUUGAUUAAGACCCGUCGACUGUUCGUACUUCAGAGGCGAACCAGAGUUAGAUUGCUUGUCAGGAUCACGUGGAUUUAGCAAGCAGU